AGGCAGCAAGUAACACCACUCAUUGUAGCAGAUAUGAGGUGGUUAAGAUCACCAAAAGUUGGAGUAGCAAGCUUCAGAGUGCGGAAGCAGAUGUCAUACAAAGCCUCAUUGUCCAAAACCAUACAUUCAUCGGCAUUUUCCACAAGCUGAUGAACAGAAAGAGUAGCAUUGUAUGGUUCAACAACUGUGUCAGAUACCUUAGGAGAAGGAAAGACCGAAAAUGUCAACAUCAUCCGAUCAGGAUACUCCUCCCUAAUCUUGGAAAUAAGAAGAGUUCCCAUGCCAGAACCAGUGCCUCCACCCAAUGAAUGACAAACUUGAAAUCCCUGUAAGCAAUCACAAUUCUCAGCCUCUUUCCUGACAACAUCAAGCACAGAAUCGAUCAAUUCAGCUCCUUCAGUGUAAUGGCCUUUAGCCCAGUUAUU
rnacentral:misc_RNA from 1 species